CCAACUAGCACAUGAUGAUAAAAAGAGGAUGCUGUGUCCUUUGCCUUCUGUCUACCGUGGUGGAUGUGUGAAAUGAAGUGCUAACAUGAGGCCACCGGAGAAACUUCCGGCGAAAUAUCCAAGUUAAAGAAUACCCACCUUUUGGCAUUGUUAUCAACAGAUAUCUGGUUGAGAAGAAUGCAACAAAUAACUUUAUCUCCGAUUCUUGUGCUCAAGGUGCACAGGUGCAGUCAUAGGAUGGAAUUCUGGCCAAUGGAACAUUGAUGGAAGUAAUGUACAUCACUUCUACGAGAGGCCUAUAGAAACUUCAUUUCAAGAUCAAUCCCCCUUCCCUUUCUGGCUGGUUGAAUGGAGACAAGCUUUUCCAGAGAGGCAGCAGGUGAAGACAGCAGGUCCUCAAGAAGAAGUCUACUAGAGAGCACCCUCCGUCCCUCCCCAUUCCCUGCCUUCCUCCCACACACAGAACACCAAAUUGAACUGUCAGCCAUCAUGCUGCAUCUUCAAAUUGAUGGAAUUUUACAACUGCUCUAGCCAGCUAGCAGUCAUGACAGUUGUCAUUGUCUGUUUGGUCAUAAGCAUCAAUGCCAGGAUGAAAACUUGCAGAAUGUGUGCCAAGUGUAUAGAAGAAAAUCCCAGAGGCAGCAGUGGGAUUUUAACCUCCAUGAAGCAAAUAGUUGUGGAGAUGGUGAGCGAGGAGGUACCUCAGACUGAGCAUCAUUCCUAACGCUGGAGUUAACAUAGCCUCGCGCUGCGGAAAGGUAAAGCCUGUGCCUCUUAUUCUCUG